GAAAAUAAAAGCAUGCAUUCUUUAACGUCUGAAAUAUGGAAUACACAGGUGUAUUAAAGUAGUAGGAGUUUAUGAACAAUAUUAAUUUACAUUAGGAACAUUUUUUGCACAAAAAGGGUAUUGUAGGAAUAAUCAAUAAUUAUUCUUAAUCUUGCAUAAUUACCUGGCCUUUUUCUUUGCUGGCCCCUUCAUUUUGUAACAUCUGAUUAGAAGGAAGAUGUUGGUAACUUAGUAGGUUGUCACUGCUAACAAAAACUACCCUAAAAAUGUCAUACUUAAUGUCAAGAGAAAAACGUUCAAGAUAGGGUAGCAUUGUCCUCCUGUGAUCAGAAUUUAUAAUCCAUGAGUAACAGAAUUGGAGAGAUUUCCACACAUAAAGGCUUGCCACUUUAGGCUUGCUCUGGCAAUUCAGGCACACUCCAGCACUUGCUCCUUCCAUCUUCAGGAAGUGCGAUUUGAAGAGUGCUAAGUUUGCAUAGGAUAGGUCAUUCACGUCUCCUGAUUGUGGCACUAUUAUAUUAAUGGAAAUUGCAUCUCCGGUUGAAAAUUUCGCUGCUGAGGACCCGUCUCUUGAUUCGCCGGCGUAAGCAUCAAAGAAGCCAUGUUCAAUCAAGAUUGCCAUGCUUGAUAUGCUUGUUAACAUUGAUAAAAGGGCUGCAGUCAACAACUCUUUGUUCUCACUAGAUUUCUUCAUCCAUGCUCCAUACCAUAUGAUCAUAUUUCCAUGGAUGCUUCUCAAUAUGGAACUCUGAGCACAACCAAGGCUCUCAGUGCUCCCAGAAAAGUGCUUAAGCGUUUCAAUUAACUCAUCAACUAAAACCAUCGUGGGCCUGAAGACAAAAAAACUUAUAUCCAAAUUCCUGUUAUUGAAAGGCACAAAGCAUGCCAUCUCUUUUUUGCUUGCUUCUGUCUUCUUUUUUCCCCCUUUUUCUUUCUUUAAUUUGUUGUUCCUGUCUCUUAAAAGAAUCAACAGACAGCAAUAAAGGGCUAAAGGGUACUUGAAACUUGGUUGGAAAAGAUUGUUUUUGAAUUUUGAGGUGUGGAUUAUUGGAUGGAGGCUUGAAGCUAAUUUAAGAUUGAAAGAGGAAUUCAAAUGGUCAUGGCAAUUGCCUGAGCUUUUAAAAUCCAGGGGACGAAAACUAUGAAUGUAUUCGAAGACUUUAGAAAUGGACCUUCCAUUGGUCUUAAGCUUUGACUGUUUCUAGAUUUUUACGGAUCAGUUACGACAGCAGAAGAUUCAAACUUGCUAUAACUUGAUUCCUUCCACCCUGGAAGCUAAUCAAUUAGGCUUCUGCUUUCUGAAUUUUUUGCUUAUUCAAUUUUAAAAUAUCAUCUAUUGAACAUCUAAAUUUAAUAAAUGAGCAAUAUUUAAGUCCUCUUUAAAAUUUUGAAGUCUUAAAUUGGAGUAUGUAUCAGAAUCAAUU
rnacentral:misc_RNA from 1 species